rnacentral:rRNA from 1 species
GAGUUUGAUCGUGGCUCAGAUUGAACGCUGGCGGCAUGCCUUACACAUGCAAGUCGAACGGCAGCACGGGAGCUUGCUCCUGGUGGCGAGUGGCGAACGGGUGAGUAAUGCAUCGGAACGUAUCCUGGAGUGGGGGAUAACGUAGCGAAAGUUACGCUAAUACCGCAUAUUCUGUGAGCAGGAAAGCGGGGGACCUUCGGGCCUCGCGCUCUUGGAGCGGCCGAUGUCGGAUUAGCUAGUUGGUGAGGUAAAGGCUCACCAAGGCGACGAUCCGUAGCAGGUCUGAGAGGAUGAUCUGCCACACUGGAACUGAGACACGGUCCAAACUCCUACGGGAGGCAGCAGUGGGGAAUUUUGGACAAUGGGGGCAACCCUGAUCCAGCCAUGCCGCGUGAGUGAAGAAGGCC